rnacentral:rRNA from 1 species
AGUUCGGAUUGUAGUCUGCAACCCGACUACAUGAAGCUGGAAUCGCUAGUAAUCGCGAAUCAGAAUGUCGCGGUGAAUACGUUCCCGGGUCUUGUACACACCGCCCGUCACACCAUGGGAGUCGGAAAUGCCCGAAGUCGGUGACCUAACCGAAAGGGAGGAGCUGCCGAAGGUGGAGCCGGUAACUGGGGUGAAGUCGUAACAAGGUACC